rnacentral:rRNA from 1 species
CCUACGGGUGGCAGCAGUGAGGAAUAUUGGUCAAUGGGCGGGAGCCUGAACCAGCCAAGCCGCGUGAGGGAAGAAGGUACAGCGUAUCGUAAACCUCUUUUGUCAGGGAACAAAGGCGGGGACUAGUCCCCGGAUGCGGGUACCUGAAGAAAAAGCAUCGGCUAACUCCGUGCCAGCAGCCGCGGUAAUACGGAGGAUGCGAGCGUUAUCCGGAUUUAUUGGGUUUAAAGGGUGCGCAGGCGGCCUGUUAAGUCAGCGGUAAAAGCCCGGGGCUCAACCCCGGCGAGCCGUUGAAACUGGCGGGCUUGAGUUGGAGAGAGGUACGCGGAAUGCGUGGUGUAGCGGUGAAAUGCUUAGAUAUCGCGAAGAACCCCGAUUGCGAAGGCAGCGUACCGGCUCCACACUGACGCUGAGGCACGAAAGCGUGGGUAUCGAACAGGAUUAGAUACCCCUGUAGUC